rnacentral:sRNA from 1 species
UGAAACAGCUUACCGAUCUAAAUUCUCC